AUCCCUUUAGCGCAAUGGAUAGCGUAUUGGACUUUUAAUCCGAAAGCUGUGGGUUCGAAUCCCACCUGGGAUG